rnacentral:rRNA from 1 species
CAUUUAGGUGCAGCGCUGGGUUAUAGUUAUAUAGAGGUAGAGCUACUGAUUGGAUGCGGGGGCUUCAUCGCCUACCAAUUCCUGACAAACUCCGAAUGCUAUAUAAUGUUUACCAGCAGUGAGGGCUUGGGUGCUAAGGUCCAAGUCCGAGAGGGAAAGAACCCAGACCAUCAGCUAAGGUCCCCAAAUAUACGCUAAGUUGAAAUAACGCGGUUUGUCUGCCCAGACAGCUAGGAUGUUGGCUUGGAAGCAGCCAUUCAUUUAAAGAGUGCGUAACAGCUCACUAGUCGAGCGGACGAGCAUGGAUAAUAAUCGGGCAUAAGUGUAUUACCGAAGCUAUGGAUGUACGCCUUGCGUACGUGGUAGGGGAGCAUUCUAAACUGGGUCGAAGGUGUGAUGUGAGUCAUGCUGGACUGUUUAGAAAAGAAAAUGUAGGCAUAAGUAACGAUAAUGCGGGCGAGAAACCCGCACACCGAAAAACUAAGGUUUCCGCAGCUAUGCUAAUCAGCUGCGGGUUAGUCUGGUCCUAAGGCGAACCCGAAAGGGACAGUCGAUGGCUAACGGGUUAAUAUUCCCGUACUACUUAUAAUUGUGAUGGAGUGACGGAGUGAUGAAAGCGCCGCGAACUGACGGAAUAGUUCGUUGAAGUACCUACCUAUAGGGCUCGUAGUCAAAUGCGCGAGUCUUGGGGAAAUACGAUAGUACUCGGAGUCUUCGGACAAUGGGAUAGUGCGCCUAAGGGCUUCCAAGAAAAACUUCUAAACUUAGAUUAUACGUACCAGUACCGUAAACCGACACAGGUAGUUGAGGAGAGAAUCCUAAGGUGCUCGAGAGAUUCAUGGCUAAGGAAUUAGGCAAAAUAGACCCGUAACUUCGGGAGAAGGGUCGCCACGCCAUUGGCGUGGCCGCAGUGAAGAGGUCCAGGCGACUGUUUAUCAAAAACACAGGGCUCUGCAAAAUCGUAAGAUGAAGUAUAGGGCCUGACACCUGCCCGGUGCUGGAAGGUUAAGUGGAGAUGUUAUGCGCAAGCAGAAGCAUUGAAAUGAAGCCCCAGUAAACGGCGGCCGUAACUAUAACGGUCCUAAGGUAGCGAAAUUCCUUGUCGGGUAAGUUCCGACCUGCACGAAUGGUGUAACGAUCUGGACACUGUCUCAGCCAUGAGCUCGGUGAAAUUGUAGUAGCGGUGAAGAUGCCGCUUACCCGCAGUGGGACGAAAAGCCCUGUGCACCUUUACAUAGCUUAAUAUUGACCUUGGACACGUGAUGUGUAGGAUAGGUGGGAGACUAUGAAGUGGCGUCGCUAGGCGUUGUGGAGUCAUUGUUGAAAUACCAC